CUACGUCACGCAAAGGCGAUAGUAUCGCUGGAGUGACAGUCGCAAAAUACGUCCCCUAGUCUUGCUGCGAAAACGUGUCGCUCGCCUGCCGAUGACAGCCCCCUGCAACGCCCUGCAACUUCAUGGUGGUUCAUGAGGUACGCCGUAGCCUAGAGCUCUCGAAUAACUCUGGUCACCUGGGGUUCGUCAACGUGCACUCAAUAAACGGUACACGGACCGGUAGCGCCUGUCCUGCCUUCGGACACGGUGCGAAGGCCUGAUACGCGCGGCAGAGAAGAACAGAAGAUUGUGACCAGCCUGAUGCCCACAGCGAUAACGAAUUAUCUGAAAAUUAAGCUAGUUAACACACUGGUGUGAUAUUCCCCAUCAAAGUCAACCUUCUGCCUAUCGGGGAAAAGCUUCCGCGCCCUUAAUUUCCCUUUUCAAAAGAAGUUUCAUUGCUUCAUCAUCUCAUGCGGCAGUUAACCGAUGCAUGUGCUAUGUAAACGCGACACAACGUGAAAAGAUUCGACCGCUUCCGAUCUUCUUGCGUGUUACAAACACGAUGGUUUGGUGCACGUUCAUCUUCAGCACGUGCCGUAUAUCUCGGCGGUUGCCCUGCUAGAUCUGCUGGAGAGUCCGUUCGAGUGUAGCCGAUAACUGCGCAUGCCCAUUCAUUCUUUUGUGACCGUGCAGCAGCAGAAGCGCGCGCACAAGUGUGGUGCUGGACGUGUGAAAUAGACGCGGCAAGGUUGGGCAUUUUCUGGAGCGCGUCACAGUUUCAGUGCCUCGACCGGUAGCGCCUGUCCUGCCUUCGGAUGCUGGGCUGCCCGGGAUGAACACCGCAGACCUGCAUUUUACAUCAGCGCUAUGGCGCGACGUUCUUCUUCUAUGGAGCUGUGUGGAGGACAGUGGUACCCGGUAUUUCCUUAACUAUGUAGCGCUGAACGAACGUCGGUUCCACGCGCGUUUCUUUUUGAGCGCCAGCUCCGGAUUGUCGCACAAGAAACGGCUGAGGUGCCAGAGGUCUUCUGCGUUACAUUCUACGACCUUCUCCACGAGAGGCGUCAAGUCUUCGACGGACAUGACAGAACGCUAGAGUAAUAUUCCAAGGCGCACUGGGACCCGUGUCGCUACCAACUUCGGAAGUGCCAGGACAAGUACCGCGCACAGGAACACCCCGAAUUCCGUAACAGGAAGAACGCCGGCUGAGCUGUUCCUGAAACGACAACCUCGAGUGAAGCUUUCACUCCUGAAGCCAAGUUUUGUGCAGGAUAUGCGCAGCCGUCAAGACAGAGACAUCACCCAUCGCAACGAUGGCAGAGGAAGGGACCCGCGGAUGGAAGCCAGUGACGCAGUUCUCGUCAAGACUACGAGAGGGGAAACCCUGUCAUUGGAGGAAGCUGUCGUAGUGCAACGCGUAAGCGACUUGACGUUCGUAUUCAAAGUCGGCGACCAUUUUCGUUUUGUGCAUGUCGACCACUUGAGACCCAGCUGGAUUUCGGGACCAAACACUUCAUUCCAUCCGGACGUCGUAAAAGAAGCGCAUCCUGAGUCCACUUCAAGUGCCCGUAUUCAGCGAGGUUUUCUAUCAACACCCUGGGAAGAAAAUUCCCCUGCUGACACCAUGAUUAGUGGUCCUACUGCGGACCAGCUUGAGGGUGUUCGCUUAGAUGACUCCACUUCAACUAAGGAACCGGCAUCGCAGCCUGAGGCAAGACACUCAGAAGCGCAGCCUGCAAGUAUCACCGCAUCAACCAUGGCAUCACCUGAAGAGGCCCAUUUGCGAAUUAGUAAUCGCACAAGGCGUCCUCCUGAUCGCUAUGAAGCCUCCAA